rnacentral:tRNA from 1 species
GGUCUAUUAGCUCAGCUGGUAGAGCACCUGACUCUUAAUCAGGGUGUCCCGAGUUCGAUCCUCGGAUAGAUCACCA